rnacentral:rRNA from 1 species
UACGAAGGGAGCUAGCGUUGUUCGGAAUCACUGGGCGUAAAGCGCACGUAGGCGGACGUGUCAGUCAGGGGUGAAAUCCCGGAGCUCAACUUCGGAACUGCCUUUGAUACAGCACGUCUUGAGUCCGGAAGAGGUGGGUGGAAUUCCUAGUGUAGAGGUGAAAUUCGUAGAUAUCGGGAGGAACACCGGGUGGCGAAGGCGACCCUCUGGACGGACGACUGACGCUGAGACGGCGAAAAGCGUGGGUAGCAAACAGG